AGGAAAAUAUGCUGAAAUUUUAAUAGUUAAAUUUAAGUUUGGAUGAAAUUUGAUAGAAAUAGAGUGUGAAUUGAAUUAGGAAAGUAAGUGAAUUUAGUUAGGAUUAAAUUGAGAAUAAUGAAGAAAUUGAAUAGAAAUUUAAUUAUUUAUCAUAAUUAGUGUUGAAAUUAAUAGUAUAAAUUAUUAUUAUUUUCGUAGCUAACAAAGAACCCGAGGCAUCGGCAUCAAAAGGAAAAGGGAAAGCUAUCGAGGACUAAAGCGGGAGAUUCACGGUCGAUAGAAGUCAAAGGUCCCGGUUCAGCAUCCAGAUUAAUCCCGACUUCAGCAUAACUUUGGUGAUAUCACUCAGCUUUAAAGUAUGUUGUGAAGAAAAAGAAGACCAAAGGUGAUCGCAAGGGGAUAAAGCCAUAGAUGAAACAUUUAUGAUGAACGAUUGUUUAUUGCUAAUUAUUUUUUUGUGAAGAAAAGAACACUAUCAACACCAUGGCACGUUGACAUUGUCAAUUAUUUAGUGCGAUGAGUCUUCCCGACUGAGGCAUCUAGUCAACAAAAGAAGAAAAUUACUCAUGAUGCUCGAGAUUAUAUUUGGGAGGAAUCUUAUGCCUUUUGGAAAUGCGCAGAUCGACUUAUCCCAAGAUGCAUGGCCAAAGAAGAGAUGGACGGUAUUCUCAUGGGAUGUUACACCUCCUCUUGCGGGGGACAUUUUGGUAGAAAAAUGACAGCACAAAAAAUCUUGUAAUAUGGUUUUUAUUGGCCGACGAUGACUCAUGAUGCGUAUGAAUUUGUCAAGAGAUGUAAUCUGAGCCAAAUGAUUGUGAACAUUUCCAAGCGAGACGAGAUGUCUCAAAAGGGAAUUCUUGAAGUGAAAAUAUUUGAUGU